CUUCCAUAUGCUGUGGACACUGCUCUAAAAAGACCCAAAAAAAAAAAAAAAUUGUUCUAACUACAACACUGUUAUACUUAGGAAAUGAAACAUUAUCAUAAUUCUUUCAUCAAACCUACCUGUCCACACCCCAUACUGUUCAUGUCCCAACAAUGUCCUUUAGGCACUUUCUCCUGUAGCACAAGACCUAGUUCGUUUAGUGGCCACACCUAUUUCGUCUUCUUUAAUCCGAAGGUUUCUCGGUCUCUCCCACUUUCCUACAUUCACACGGUUAAAGAAUCCAGACCGUCUGUAGACUGUUCUUCCGUGUGGGUUUGUCUCACGUUUCUUGUUGAUUAGGUUCCGGUUGUUUGUAAGCGAUGGUGUUUCUUCCCCAACGCGUCGCCUCCAGAAGUGUGAUAACCAUCCGAGCCUCAUCGCUAAGGUUAAUUUUGACCUCGAGGCCGAAGUGUCAUCUGCUGUCCCCAUCGCCAUUUGCAGGUGGACUGUUUGCUAGGCGCUUUUCCAGAUGCUCAGAGUCCUUACUUCGGCUCUUCACAACUGCCUUGACGGUAUUCUUUCCACUUUACAGAUGAAGAUGCAAGACUCAGAGUGUCCAUGGGACCUGCCAAAGGUCUUGCUGCUGGAAAGGGGUAAAGGGAUUCCUGAGACUUGUGCAGGUGCCAACAGGAAGAGACUCUUUGCUGGCCUUGAAGAUGUGGGAAGUCUGGCCAGCACCUGCUCUACUGUAGCCAUCCUGCCAUGCCAUGGGCUGGGCUUAUCUCCGAGUAAGAGCCGCCCAUGGAUCGAAUCUUCAGCCAGGUCUACAUCUGGACAUUUUUCUGAGAUGCCUCUGUUUGGUGUUUGCUAUGGGGAAGAAUAAAGAAAUAAGACAUACAUUAUUCAUUGACGUGAACAGGAGGAUUUCUGUGAUAUCCCCUCUGGCUUUGACAGGAUGACAGAACAGUCACUCAAGACCUAAGUGUGAGCCACCCCUCUCCCCAUCCUGCUAUUUUUUGAAGACUAGAGACUUUAAGCCAAUCAUCCAAUAAGUAAAAUGUCCCUCUGGAAUUUCACCUCGUGAAAAAUGAUACCACCAGCCACCGAACUGCCCAAGGGUGAAACAGGGAGCGGGUCUGUUUCUUCUCUUCCUUGUAUUCCAGGUGCCCUCAGAUCCUGAGACCAGUCUUUCUGCCCUAGUUAAAGAGGCUGCUUGCCAUCCUUUACUUCAUCUAUUUUCAUGCUUUCGAGUCAUCCAUUCCCCACUUCCAUUUCACCUCCACCCCGCAGUCCUCCACGCCGGACAGCGUCAUAACCCCAAUACAUUGUGUCCAAUCGCCCACCUUACGUUCAGACUCUGGUGUGUCCACUAGCUCUGCAGAGCCCCGGGGUUCAGUGAUGGUGUCUCAGGGGUCUAGGUAUGCCUGAAAAGAAAGCCCCCCACCCAACUUUUAACUGAGCAGUUCUGUUUUUAUCUGCUUUCUGUCAAAGGAUUCUGGAUCGUAUUUUAUUUGAAAAGUAAAAAGGCCUAAAACUGAAAAGAUUUGAAAACUACUGGCCCACAGGAAGAAAUUCACAUUCCAUCCCACAACAUACAACCUGCAACAUACGUCCCGUCCUCUAUUAUACUGUGUCAUGGAAUAACAUAGAAGGUUAUCUGGGGAGAGGUCCCUGCCUGCCAGUCAAUCCAUCUUAUACUCUCAAUUCCAAGACACCUUUGAAACAUUUACAAUUAUGCUGAUUUUCUUACAUCGUACUAGGUGAUCUGUCUUCUCAUGUCAUCUCCAAGCCUUGGCACAUUCUGUUUCCUCUGUCUGGAAUAUCUUGCCUCUGCUGGUUGCCUUAAAACUCCUAUUUAUUCUUCAAGUCUCAGCUCAAGGGCUUCUUGGGUGAGGGCUUUCUGAUCUUCUAGCCAAAGGUUGUCCAAUAGAAUGUGGUGCAAUGAAGAGUGUGCUCUGUUUCCCACACGGCCCAAUCCAGCAGACACCAGCCACAAUGUCACUAGUGCAACCAGGAAACUCAAUUCCUAACUUUGUGUAUAAAAUCAUUUUAAUUCUCUCAAGAGCUAUACAUGAGUCGUGACGACUGCUUUGCGAGAGCAGCUCUAGAUAGACCUACUUUGAGAUUGAUUUCUGUUAUAGAAUUUUCCAUAAAAACUGCAUCACAAUUAUUUACAUGAACAUUUAUUGUGCUGAUCUACCAGCGUCUAUGGGAUAGGACUGUGUGUGUGCCUGCACACACUGUGUCAUUAGCACUGAGCCCGGGACAGUAGGGAUUCUUCAAAUGUUGACUGGGUAGGUAAAAGGAAGCACAUUGUCAAGGAUGAAGUGCAACACAUAAAUGGAAAAUUUCGAGGGCUUUAAAUCAAACACUCCUUAUUUGAAGUCCAGAAUCUUUCCGUGGGUGAAUGGUGGAGGCAAGUCUCUCCUCCUGAGUUGAACUUACUCACCUGUUUAAUGAAGAUAACGCAGAAGUUCCCUUCAUCAGAUAUGUUGGGAGAAUAAAAGGAGCUAAAGUAUAUGAAUUAAAUGCAGAUUAAUUAGUUAACAUUAAUCCUCCUUCAAGAGUACCCACUUAUGUAUUUACCUCUGUAUGUAUUUUGUCCGGAAGCAUAUUUACAUCCCCUGAAAUUCAAAAUUCUAAUGAUAGGAAUGUUUGAAAAAUCCAUACCGAGAAAUAGCAGAUUGUAAUAUAUGCAAACAUUCCCCCACCCCAAUACUUUGAAAAGGACUACAGCUGGUGAGUUGCAGACCCGAGUCAGCACAGGUGUGUUCCCAACUUCAAUGAUACCAAAUCUGCCUCUAUGUGGGUAAAAGAAUUUGCAGAAGCUUGCCAAGUGACAGGUGGUGAGCUAGACCAGCGUGACUAAUGGUGGAACGAAAGAGAAAGGCAGAGGGAGAGAGGCUGUUGGUGGAAACACGGUGAUUUAUUUUUCACUGGGAAAAACGCAGUGUCAAGAAGCAUAGGGUCUUGGCUGACAUCAGAGCUCUGAAUCAAGUGAAACCAUUUUAUUUGGGUGAGUCUGCAGCCAGACACAAGGGUCCACCUUUGUCGGUGCUUUGUAUGCCUAAGCACAAAAUGAAGCAAAGGCUGCCAUCAGCAGAAGGGAAGGGGGCCAUCAUCGCCAACAAGUAUUAGAGUCUUGGCGUAUGUAUAUGCAGAGAGACAGCAGUCCUGAAAACACUGCAGGGAUGCACGUAAAUAAACACACAAACCCAUGCAUGGAAAUAACCUCAUCUCCAAAUCAAAACUGCAAAUUCCUCACAGCACACUCUUAGGGGCAGACUAGUGAUUACUGCUUUCCUGGAGCUCCCAAUCAGAUUUCUAUUUGAAGUUUAAACAGAUUUAGGUUUAUAAAACCUGCUGUCAUUCACCUGGUCAAGGCAUGAACAGUAAAGCAGCUUUGGUAACUUACGACCACUGUUCAGUUAUUGAUCUUGAACAUUGAUGGACGCAACUGUAAACUAUGCAAAACUACACAUUCAUUUUUUUCAGAUUUUUCUUUCCAGGGGGUGACAUUUGUCUUCCAUUUUUUAAUCUCUUUUAUAGAUCAAAUGUUCAUCAUGGAAGGACUGAGAUCCGUUUUUUGUUGUUGUUGUUUUAAUUCCUUGUUUGAGACAUUUUGUUCACUAUGCACGCAACUAAAACAGAACAUUUAAAAUCAUAAUAAUCAUUGAAACUGAAGUCAGUUCAACCUAAAAAUCAGUACAACCAUCAGCUAUCUUUUAUAGAAGAAGUUCUGCUAAGUGCUAAGAAGAAUGCUCGGAAUAAGAUUCUUUUGCCAGCUGAAGUAGGCAGAAUUUCUAGGUAAGGCCACCAGAACCCAUGCUCUCUCUAAUCCUUAGUACCUGUGAAUGUGAGAUACCACACCCAUGAUUGUGUUAUAUGUCAAAGUUAACCCUAAGAAAGGGAUAUCUUGGUGGGCCUGAUCUAAUCCUUAAAAGCAAAGAACUUUCUCUGGCAGGUGGCAGAAGAAGGUAGAGGCAGCAUUCAGAGAGUUUCAAAGCCCAGGAAGAAGUUGAGUUGAGGCACUGUUGUUGGCUUUGACGUUGGAGAGAACCACGUGAGAAGGGGUGGGGAUGACGUCUAGAAGCAGAAUGGCCCCGAGGCGACAGCCAGCAAGGAAACGGGGAACCUGGUCCUGCCACCACAAGGAACCAGAUUCUGCUGACUUGAAUAGUUGGAAAUGGAUGCUCCCCAAAGCCUCCAGUGAAGAGUCAGGCUGGCUGACAGCUUGAUUUCAGUCUCAAAAAACACUAAGCAGAGAAGCUAAUUGAGAUUCUCUGGAUUUCUGAUCUUCAGCCCUGACAGAUAAUAAAUAGGUGUUAUUUCAAGCCACUGAGAUUAUGGCAUUUUUUUAAAACACAGAUGUACAUAACUACAACAGUAUCUUUGCACAACACAGAGUUAGUUUAGCAGGAAAGGAAAAUGUCUGAGUAAUACUUAUAAUUGCAGAGCAAUAUGUGCUGAUAGAAAAACUGAAAUGUGCAUCUAGACGAUGUUUGACUUGGGCUGUGAAGAUGGAACAGAAACACCAUACAGGGAGAGGACACAAUCUCUGCAGACAGUCAGAUUCACAGACUGGUUCCUUGAGAAGCAGACUUGGAGAUGGAUAUUAGUGUGUCGGAAUUUUUUUCCAGCAGUGCCCUUGGGAUCUACAGCUGUGGAAGAGGGUGAGAGAAAGCAGGGCUCACUCUGCAGAGGGAGGGACUGAGCUGUGGAUUGGCCCCAACAAAGUCUCCAGCCAGCCCCGCGGGGAGAGGGUUCAUCAGAGAUAUCCUGCACUGGGGCAAGGGAGAUGGGACUAUGCCCUUGGGUUGACUAGCAAUGGAUGUAGGCUUCCCUGUGGAAGACAGUGUGACCUUGUGUGAGCCUGCUUUCUGUAGCUAAGACCACUUCCAAUGAAGGAUGACAACUAAGAGCUUCUCCUUUCACACACACAUUUCUGAAGCAAGGUCUGAAAGGUGCAGGCAGAGGCAUGGCCCAUUCAGAGAUAAGUGAGAAAUUUAGUGUAGCUUAGGAUAUGCAGAAAAAUAGAAAAGACUACUCACAACAGCCAAGAC